AUGCAUAUACUCAGUCAAAAAAUUGUGUUUACUCUUUUUUAUCUUCAUAUUCAUCGAGGAAUUUCUUGAGGUGAAGAAAGACAACCGAAACAAAACGAAAACAGCCGAGCACCGAGCACCGAGCAUUCGAUACUUCUAGGAGAUAUACACAGAGAGAUCUCCAUUCCCCCUCCGUCCUUCAACGAGUUAAGAUCCAGUGAACG